rnacentral:misc_RNA from 1 species
GUGAAUCAUCAAAUCUUUGAACGCAAAUUGCGCCUUUUUCGGAAGGCAUGACUGUUUGAGGGCACCAUUUAUCAAAUGAUGUGUAGCGUUUAUUGCUGCACACGUUGUUGAGCUUUCUAAGAAUUUUAAAUUUUUGGUGGCGAAUAAUGAAAAGCGUGAAAGUUUCUUUCAGUUCGAGUGUAGUAAAAUCUUUGCUUGGGUUGUGAAAAAACAUAAUCGCGCAAUGGGUGUGGAAAUUUCUUUUUAUCCCUGACACAAUGCCAAUCUUUCUCAC